UACAAAAAGCACUGGAUACUGUGGCCAAGGAGAAGGAUUGCGAGGACCUGAAGCUAUGGAGACCCGCCAUCAUCAACCUUUCAUACUAGACUGCGUCUUUCACCCCAAUGUGCACACCCACCUCUGGAAGGAGAGGGAAGAAACAAGCAGUGGCUGGAACCAGGAUCAACAGCUGCGAUAGUGUUGCUUCCAGAAAGGCCCUGCUGAAGGAUAUUCUACAGCUCUCACCGGGACACCAAACAUUUUCCUUGGAAGCAUUCCGUUCUUUAAUCCUGCACUUUGAGCCAAAGCACACCGGCUUCUGUUUUCUUGGAAUAUACAGCAGACUUCUCUUAGGCUCUCAGGCUCUCCACUUCAAUAACAAUGG